UUUAUUGAAUCUCUUUGAAAGAGUUUUAUAUUAAUAAUGUUGGUUUUCCAACUAUGACGAUAAACGAAUUUCGUAAUAAACAUUACGGACGUCGGGGCAGUACCGACCACCUCCACCAUUUACAACUUAUGGGGGUGAAAUAGGAUCGACGGAUGUCUAAAGGCUAUUCUUUCGUACGAGAUGGUUCCGACGUAACGGGCCAAUUUACAAAUGCUAACGAAAGUUACGCACUUGCUGCUUAAUUAACUUAGUUAAUUAAGUUACGGGGUUUGGGGCACCUGGCAACAGAACGCCCCUAGA
rnacentral:tmRNA from 1 species